GGGCGCAAGCCUGAUGCAGCGACGCCGCGUGAGGGAUGGAGGCCUUCGGGUUGUAAACCUCUUUUAUCGGGGAGCAAGCGUGAGUGAGUUUACCCGUUGAAUAAGCACCGGCUAACUACGUGCCAGCAGCCGCGGUAAUACGUAGGGUACAAGCGUUAUCCGGAAUUAUUGGGCGUAAAGGGCUCGUAGGCGGUUCGUCGCGUCCGGUGUGAAAGUCCAUCGCUUAACGGUGGAUCCGCGCCGGGUACGGGCGGGCUUGAGUGCGGUAGGGGAGACUGGAAUUCCCGGUGUAACGGUGGAAUGUGUAGAUAUCGGGAAGAACACC
rnacentral:rRNA from 1 species